GUGGGGAAUAUUGGACAAUGGGCGCAAGCCUGAUCCAGCCAUGCCGCGUGAGUGAUGAAGGCCCUAGGGUUGUAAAGCUCUUUCACCGGUGAAGAUAAUGACGGUAACCGGAGAAGAAGCCCCGGCUAACUUCGUGCCAGCAGCCGCGGUAAUACGAAGGGGGCUAGCGUUGUUCGGAAUUACUGGGCGUAAAGCGCACGUAGGCGGGUAUUUAAGUCAGGGGUGAAAUCCCGGAGCUCAACUCCGGAACUGCCUUUGAUACUGGGUACCUAGAGUAUGGAAGAGGUAAGUGGAUUUCCGAGUGUAGAGGUGAAAUUCGUAGAUAUUCGGAGGAACACCAGUGGCGAAGGCGGCUUACUGGUCCAUUACUGACGCUGAGGUGCGAAAGCGUGGGGAGCAAACAGGAUUAGAUACCCGUGUAGUCC
rnacentral:rRNA from 1 species